GCGGCGCUCCUCUCUCUUUCUCCUCCCUCUACUCUCGUUCGUUGCCGCUCCUCUCCCUAAUCUGCUCUCACUGUCGCUGGGAUCUUCACCCACGCUCACGCAUACUUGUGCCGCCGCCGGCCUCCACCACGAUUCCUCCACAGCACUGCAUACACGCUGUGAUUCUGCCUUUCUCCUCCCAAACUCAUUCUUGUCGUCGCUGCUCCCUAAUCUGCGGAUUUCACCGUGAUUUGUUGUGGAUUGGAAGAAUUUAAUAGUCACCUUGCUCCUUUCUACCUAAUCGAAUCAAACAGGUUUGAGGAUGCACUUGGAGGACUGAUAGCUUGGCCUUGUCAUUUGGUGACAGGUACUUGGAUUUUGCAUAUGAUGGUUGAAGAUGGUUGAUAAUAAAUUAGUUAGUU